rnacentral:rRNA from 1 species
CUGAAUUCAGCGGCGGACGGGUGAGUAAUGCCUAGGAAUCUGCCUGGUAGUGGGGGACAACGUUUCGAAAGGAACGCUAAUACCGCAUACGUCCUACGGGAGAAAGCAGGGGACCUUCGGGCCUUGCGCUAUCAGAUGAGCCUAGGUCGGAUUAGCUAGUUGGUGAGGUAAUGGCUCACCAAGGCGACGAUCCGUAACUGGUCUGAGAGGAUGAUCAGUCACACUGGAACUGAGACACGGUCCAGACUCCUACGGGAGGCAGCAGUGGGGAAUAUUGGACAAUGGGCGAAAGCCUGAUCCAGCCAUGCCGCGUGUGUGAAGAAGGCCUUAUGGUUGUAAAGCACUUUAAGCGAGGAGGAGGCUACCUAGAUUAAUACUCUAGGAUAGUGGACGUUACUCGCAGAAUAAGCACCGGCUAACUCUGUGCCAGCAGCCGCGGUAAUACAGAGGGUGCGAGCGUUAAUCGGAUUUACUGGGCGUAAAGCGUGCGUAGGCGGCUUUUUAAGUCGGAUGUGAAAUCCCUGAGCUUAACUUAGGA